rnacentral:RNase_P_RNA from 1 species
CGAGCCGGCCGGGUGGUCGCGGUCCGGCAUGACCGGGCCGAGGAAGGUCGGGGCUCCACAGGGCAAGGUGCUGGCUAGCGGCCAGUCGGGGUGACCCGCAGGAAAGUGCCACAGAAAACAGACCGCCGAUGGCCCCUCGGGGCACAGGCAAGGGUGAAACGGUGCGGUAAGAGGGUGAAACGGUGCGGUAAGAGCGCACCAGCGUCCGGGGUGACCCGGGCGGCUCGGCAAACCCCACCCGGAGCAAGGCCGAACAGGGACGGGCUGCCCGCCCGACGUCCCGGGUAGGCCGCGUAGAUGGAUGACCACCCCGCCCCUCGGGGCGGACAGAACCCCGCCUACGAGCUGACUCGCCGC